ACGCGAGGAACCUUACCAGGUCUUGACAUCCCAUUGACCGCUAUGGAGACAUAGCUUUCCCUUCGGGGACAGUGGUGACAGGUGGUGCAUGGUUGUCGUCAGCUCGUGUCGUGAGAUGUUGGGUUAAGUCCCGCAACGAGCGCAACCCUUGAUCUUAGUUGCCAUCAUUUAGUUGGGCACUCUAAGGAGACUGCCGGUGACAAACCGGAGGAAGGUGGGGAUGACGUCAAAUCAUCAUGCCCCUUAUGACCUGGGCUACACACGUGCUACAAUGGACGGUACAAACGGUUGCCAACCCGCGAGGGGGAGCUAAUCCGAUAAAACCGUUCUCAGUUCGGAUUGUAGGCUGCAACUCGCCUACAUGAAGCCGGAAUCGCUAGUAAUCGCGGAUCAGCAUGCCGCGGUGAAUACGUUCCCGGGCCUUGUACACACCGCCCGU
rnacentral:rRNA from 1 species